rnacentral:rRNA from 1 species
UACAGAGGUGGCAAGCGUUGUUCGGAAUUACUGGGCGUAAAGGGCGCGUAGGCGGCCCGUCAAGUCCCGUGUGAAAGCCCCCGGCUCAACCUGGGAACUGCAUCCGAGACUGCAUUGCUAGAGUAUGGGAGAGGGAAGCGGAAUUUCUGGUGUAGCAGUGAAAUGCGUAGAUAUCAGAAGGAACAUCAGUGGCGAAGGCGGCUUCCUGGACCAAUACUGACGAUCAGGUGCGAAAGCGUGGGGAGCAAACAGG